AGCUGAAACUUAAAGGAAUUGACGGAAGCGCACACAAGAAAUGGGGCCUGCGGCUUAAUUUGACUCAACACGGUGCAACUCACCCGGCCCGGACACAGGAAGGAUUGACAGAUUAAGAGCUCUUUCUUGAUUCUGUGACAGGUGGUGCAUGGCCGUUUCUAGUUGGUGGAGUGAUUUGUCUGCUUUAUUGCGAUAACGAGCGAGACUCUAGCCUACUAAAUAGACCGGUCCUCAUCUUUUAGGGACCGGGUCUUCUUAGAGGGACAAGCGGUGUUCAGCCGCACGAAACUGAGCAAAAACAGGUCAGGAUGCCCUUAGAUGUUCGGGGCCGCACGCGCGCCACAUUGAAGGAAUCAGCGUGUGCUUUCCCUCUCCGAUAGGAGUGGGUAACCCGUUGAAACUCCUUCGUGCUAGGGAUAGGAAAUUGUAAUUGUUUUCCUUGAACGAGGAAUUCCCAGUAAGCAUUGAGUCAUCAGCUCGUGUUGAUUACGUCCCUGCGCUUUGUGCACACCGCCCGUCGCUAUUAUCGAUGAAUUUUGGAGUGAGAUCAUCGGACCGACUAGGAGAUCUGCUCUUCCGAGUGGAAAUCCGUGUUGGAAAGAUGACCGAACUUGAAUAUUAGAG
rnacentral:rRNA from 1 species